AACUGAUGACGUAAGUAAUUUCAGGUGCGUCUGUUCAUCAAAAGGCCAACUUUCUGGCCAAUGGCUGCCCAGAUUCAGAAGUAACAAAGCAUUUUAAAAACAAGCAGAAAACCCAGGCCGUGUCAUGGUCUGUGCAGAAAUAUCCAGAUGAUGUCGUCCAGCUCAGGACCAGCCAGUGUUUACCCCCCGCUCCGGUUAAAGGUUGACUCAUCACCUGAUGGCUGCUCUCAUUCCGCGGAUGCAGCAACUGCUUUCCCGUCGGGUUUGUGCCCCAGCUGCUGCUCCUCUCUCGUUUGUUGUGGCGUGACACGGGGGGACGAUGGGAGAUGGAGUUUAUUCAGAUACAGCUGCUGCCGGAGUCGUUUACCAUCAGCUCAACACAAUACUUGGCUGGAUGUUUGGAGGAAAUAAGAAUGCCCCUAUCCAUCCAACCGAGAGGACUCUUCCUGUCUCCCAUCAUUACUUGCAGCGACUCCAUAGACCGAGUACGGGCAGAAAGGACACUUCCUGGUGGCGUGUGAAGGUCAAAAUGAAAAGCUGGAGAUCAAGGAAAGUGGGCACUUCCUGCUUCAGAUGAAGCCCUGUAGGAGAGAAGGACUUCCUGGCGUCAGAGGUUACCUGAAUGAGUCCAUACAUCAACAAAAGUGGGGUUGCAUUGAUCUCAUUCACAGAGCAAAUACUUCCUGGGAAAUUAUCCACAAUGGAUGGAGCAAACAUCACCACAGGCAGGAGUACCAGGAAGGUCCCACAGACAAAGGCCAGGAGACAAAAGCAACACAUGAAGGUCGAUAAAUGUCAUUGAGCUGCAUCUGCAAAAAGAAAUCUGUUCUUUAACCUGGAUAUUAUAAUCACGAUUAAAAAAGUGUCUCUACCUUAGAAAUCUUUUAGGUAAAACGUU